UACAGAGGUCCCAAGCGUUGUUCGGGUUCAUUGGGCGUAAAGGGUGCGUAGGCGGCGCGGUAAGUCGGGUGUGAAAUCUCGGGGCUUAACUCCGAAACUGCAUUCGAUACUGCCGUGCUUGAGGACUGGAGAGGAGACUGGAAUUUACGGUGUAGCGGUGAAAUGCGUAGAUAUCGUAAGGAAGACCAGUGGCGAAGGCGGCCCCCUGGUUGGAUACUGACGCUGAUACGCGAAAGCGUGGGGAGCAAACAGG
rnacentral:rRNA from 1 species